AACGAACGCUGGCGGCAUGCCUAACACAUGCAAGUCGAACGAGACCUUCGGGCCUAGUGGCGCACGGGUGCGUAACGCGUGGGAACCUGCCCUUAGGUUAGGUAUAACUCCCCGAAAGGGGUGUUAAUACCGGUUGAUCUCUUAGCACAAAAGAUGUUUCGCCUUUGGAUGGGCCCGGGUUGGAUUAGCUAGUUGGUAGGGUAAAAGCCUACCAAGGCGACGAUCCAUGGCUGGUCUGAGAGCAGGACCAUGCACGCUGGGACUGCGACACGGGCCAGACUCGGACGGGGGGCAGCAGUGUAGAGUAUUGUGCAAGGAGCGAAAGCCUAGUCCAGCAAUGCCGCGUGAGUGAUGAAGGCCUUAGGAUUGUAAAGCUCUUUUAGCCGAGAUGAUAAUGACAGUACCGGGUGAAGAAGCACCGGCUAACUCCGUG
rnacentral:rRNA from 1 species